rnacentral:rRNA from 1 species
AGUGAACGCUGGCGGUAGGCCUAACACAUGCAAGUCGAACGGCAGCACAGUAAGAGCUUGCUCUUACGGGUGGCGAGUGGCGGACGGGUGAGGAAUACAUCGGAAUCUACUUUUUCGUGGGGGAUAACGUAGGGAAACUUACGCUAAUACCGCAUACGACCUACGGGUGAAAGCAGGGGAUCUUCGGACCUUGCGCGAUUGAAUGAGCCGAUGUCGGAUUAGCUAGUUGGCGGGGUAAAGGCCCACCAAGGCGACGAUCCGUAGCUGGUCUGAGAGGAUGAUCGGCCACACUGGAACUUGAACACGGUCCAGACUCCUACGGGAGGCAGCAGAGGGGAAUAUGAGACAAUGGGCGCAAGCCUGAUCCAGCCAUACCGCGUGGGUGAAGAAGGCCUUCGGGUUGUAAAGCCCUUUUGUUGGGAAAGAAAAGCAGCAGGUUAAUACCCCGCUGUUCUGACGGUACCCAAAGAAUAAGCACCGGCUAACUUCGUG